AAGAGGUUAGUUAACAAAUAACAUUGGCAUGUCAAGCCAAAAUAGUUGAACAUUCAACAUCUCUUU
rnacentral:tRNA from 1 species